rnacentral:lncRNA from 1 species
AAAGAGCGUUCUGUUUGGCUGUCAGUGUGUGUGCAUUAAAAACCUGGGCAUUUUCCGGCUUUCCAGAGUCUUCAUUUCUCACUAACUUUUAGAGCCAAAGAUGCUGCGGGAUUCUACAGCUCAGCAGAGCAUGGGGGCAGGGCAUGCCAGGCGAGUGACCUCAGUCCUAGUGUACUCUCUCUAACACUCAAGUGGAAGACGCCUGAUGGUGUUCUCUGCACUGCAGUUGUGGGCGACUGGAGCAGCUGCUGCUUGGAUAGCAAGCUGCUGAUCUCCUUUUCAAGAGCCCCGAGGCAGAGCAAGGAGAAGGGAGCCAUGAGAGAGCCUAUGCCUGGGCAUCUUGGGCACCCUGGGUAUCCUGAGAGGUGGCACCACAGCAGUCACAGCAGUCCCUGAGAGGACAGGGGUGGACAGGCCAGAGCUGCAGUGCUCUUCCCUCCUCCAGCAAAUGCAACAAGUGUUUCCUGGAUCUAGAACAGACACAGGCCCGCCCGCCCUCACAGACAGCGGGGCGAUGGCCGGCAUGAGACCCCAAACACCAAGUGAAGGGAAUGACUUGGACUAAUGUUUCACUGAGCAGGCCUGAGACUAUAAUCAACCUCUGAGGUUAAAUUACAAAGCACCCUUCACACCUCAAAUGACUGAGGCUUUUAUAUGACCCAGCAAUGAACAAGCACAGAGGGACAGGCAUCUCCCACACAAGGGGGACAUCACUAAUCUGGGAGUUAUGUGGACACAAUCUGCUAUGGGUCAGACGCUUCCCUCUGAAGUCAUGUAAGGAGCGGUUCCAAGACACGAACAGCGACAACAAAUGUUACAGAUAAGCUCACAGAUGAGUCGGCCUGUGACGCCUGGGAGGCACAAGGACCCUGAACAGAGCGGUCAGCAGUGCCGAGACUGGCAAGGAGGUGACAGUGGUCUCAGCAAACGGAGAGGCUUGGUAUACUCUGAAUAAGUGUGUAAGUAUCCUACAAGGCCAACUCUCUCCACUGCCUCCUCCCACCACGUGUGCUGAGGCUGGAACUGGGGUUCUUACACGUGGUAGGCAGGUACCUCUCCUCUGAGUUGUAUCCCUACCCCACUCACUAGAUUCCUAACAUUUUAGUGGGACCCAAUUCAAAUGUCAACAGUUCUUCUACAAUAAGAUGAACCAACUCAAAGUGCUGGUCUACAAUGUCAGCAUUUUUGAUGUUGCAAUUGCUUUAGUAGGGCACACAGCCACAAUUAUAUCCAGGAUGGGAGGAAUCAAGAUCCAUUUAGUAAGAGAUAAAAAUGAAAAUCUAAGAAAACAUUAUAAAAUCUACAUAGAAACAACAAAUGAAUGUCAAUUUAACACUGUACACUUGAUGUCCCUUCCUUGAAAGUACUGUGUCCCAGUGACAAUGAGCACCCCUCCCCCACCUCACCCCAGAUUCUGGUCUUCAAAGCACCCUCCACUGCAGGCCUGAGAGAGGGAGGAAUAUAACCAGCCUGGGAGGUGCCUCACUAUGCCAGAAAUCAAGGUAUCAAAAAUAGGUAGGAGGCAGGGGCCUGGCUCAGUGGGUAAAGUCCUUGCCAUGCUAGUAUGAGAGACUGAGUUCAAAUCGCUGGGAUCCAUGUAAUUCCAGUGGUUCUAUGGUGAGAUGGGAGACAGGAAGCCCUUGGGCCAGCUAGCUUACUGUGUGUGUCAUCAAACAAAAGACCUUCAUUCAAGGAAGGUGGAAGUCGAAGGGUGACACCUAAGUUAUCCUAUGACCUCCAAACACGUACCAUGGUCAGUCACACCAAUGCUCUACACAUAAAUGUACAUAUGCAAACAUACACAUACACACACACACACACACACACACACACAUCCAAAAAUACAUAGGCUGGGCUGGAGAGAUAGCUCAGUGGUUGGAAGCACUCCCUGCUCUUGCAGAGGAUCUGGGUUUGAGCCUCCCUAGUCAUACCCCAGGUCCCUUACCUGACCACUCUUUCUUUGUUUAGCUCCUAUCAGCUUAUCUGUGUAGUUUGGGGACAGCUAUGCUGGUUGCCAGCUUUCUGAGUCUGCUUCCUUAUAGGGUGUCUCUUUCCCUCCCAUUGGCAGGGAGCAGUUGUGGCUGAAGGCCUUUGUGGGCUACAAUGGGAACUGGCAGGCCAACGUGGUCUGGAGGCCCGACACAGGUAGGCUCCUAUCCUGUAACUCCAGUUUUAGGAGAUCUGAUGCCUUUUUCUGACCUCCACAGCCACCAGACACAGACAUGGCACACGUGUAUAUAUUCAGACAAAUCAUCCAUGCACAUAAAAUGAAUAACAACACUAAGCUAAAAAAAAUUUUUUUAAAGGCAUGGGUAGGGUUGAAAUCCUGCAUUUUAACAUUAGAAAGAAAGAUGAAAUCAACGAUAAUAAAAUAGUCACGCAUAAAAGGUUCAGAGGAAACUGGUAAUCCAAAGUCAGAAUAAUGCCUAGCCUAGUUUUCAUAUAUCUAGUUGGUAAGAAAAUAAUGUCUGUUAGCCCACUCCACUCCUGACUCUGAAGGGAUUAGCGAGGCCACGAAGCAUUCCUGUAUGGCUGACUGAUGUGGGAUUCAUGGUCAGGACAACAGAGUGGACCUCACAAGCUAUUCCUGCGCUUUCUGCAUUGCAUAGGGGGGAUGUGACUGCGUGACAGAGAGCAGUCGGCCAGCACCAUCACUUCUGCUAGGCCAACACAGAUGAUGUUGCUUCCACAGUGAAGAAAAAUGUCAUCGCCUGAGUCACACAGCCUCACCUUUGAUGUACUCCAGCCAAGACAGCCUCCACUUAGAGCACCUACAAGGGGGAGUGGGGCGCUGAGUAGCAGCUGGCUCGGCAGACUAUUUAUUAGUCAAGUGUCACGGCUUAAGGAAUUCCCAAACUGCAAGUAUUUGGCAAAAGGAUUCUGGCCCAAGAAAAACAAACAAAGCCUGCUGGAGGACUUUCAUUCUAAGGCCUCGAUUUGUUAAAAAUAUUUGAGGAUGGUGAUUAGCACAUCAUAAAAAUAAAGAGGCGCGCAGAAAGAAG